GGCAAGUUUAUUCAAACAUCUCACUAACAAGAACACAAUAAGAACAGUAACUAAUAGUAAAUAAUAAAAAAAGGAGAAAUGAUUUAACAACACUGAACAUACUGUAGCGGGCCAGUGGGUGUGGGGUUUCCACGCUACCAAGUUGAGUAGACAAAUGACACAACACACAGAGCAGUUCCAAGCACAGAAUGGUUUAUUUACCUUGUAAAUGCAAACCAGGGUGGGAAAGGGUCAUCCACCUCUUAUAUGCUAAAGUUCCAAUGUCCGUCCAACCCCUUCCACCUAUCUCUCUCCCUUAAGGCGUACCACUCUGCCAGGCGAUCACACAGAUCCUGCCUGUCCUCACCUAGCCCUAGCUCCUCUUCCAACUCCAACUUCCCCACAUGUCUGUUGGCUAGCCCUCUUAAGCCCCAGCUACCCUGCUUAAUGAUCCCCAGGCUCGCCUCGUUAACGUGAGGAAGUCCAUAUAUGGCUUGGGGGUGGAGCCAGCAGGUUGCCGGACCUACCGCUCCCCUCACUCCUCCCUGGCGUCUGCCACACACCCUCCACCUCAGCUCCGACCGAGAGGGAGGGGCAGUCCAGCUCCCUAGAGCAACCCCCAUGGACAGGGCCUCUGAAAUCCCCUGUACUGGGUCAUCUCCAGCUGCGGGGUCGUCUCCCGCUGCGGCGGCGGUGUCUCCCGCUGCGGCGGCGGUGUCUCUUCUUGCGGCGGCGUCUCUCGCGGCGGCGGCUGCGUCUCUCGCGGCGGCGGCGGCUGCGUCUCUCACGGCGGCGGCUGCUGCGUCUCGCGGCGCCUGCGGCUGCGUCUCUCACGGCGGCUGCGUCUCUCGCGGCGGCUGCGUCUCUCGCGGCGGCUGCGUCUCUCACGGCGGCGGCUGCUGCGUCUCUCGCGGCGCCUGCGGCUGCGUCUCUCGCGGCGGCUGCGUCUCUCGCGGCGGCUGCGUCUCUCGCGGCGGCUGCGUCUCUCGCGGCGGCUGCGGCUCUCGCGGCGGCUGCGUCUCUCGCGGCGGCUGCGUCUCUUGCGGCGGCUGCGGCUACGUCUUUUGCGGCGGCGGCGACUGCGUCUCUUAAGGCCGCUGC
ensembl:lncRNA